AAGAUUUCCUUUCCUUUCUCCACUGACAAGAUUGCAAAAUGUGUGAACCAGAAGGCACAGCCAGGACGGGAGCGUGAGGCACUGUAGGCAAGCGUUUUUUUUUUUUUUUUUUUCCUCCCUACCGGAAAUCUGAUGGGCUUAUGACAUCAUGGCUGGCUGCUGAGCGAUGGAGUGGAUGCCACAAAGAAAUCCGACAUGUCAGAUGGAUUCAGAAAUCCCUUUCCCUCCUGCGGCUGGAGGAGCAGGCGUGGAGUCGGGAGAGUCUGAGCUUUGUUUGAGAAAUUAUUAAGGAAA
rnacentral:lncRNA from 1 species